GACGAACGCUGGCGGCGUGCUUAACACAUGCAAGUCGAACGGAAAGGCCCUGCUUUUGUGGGGUGCUCGAGUGGCGAACGGGUGAGUAACACGUGAGUAACCUGCCCUUGACUUUGGGAUAACUUCAGGAAACUGGGGCUAAUACCGGAUAGGAGCUCCUGCUGCAUGGUGGGGGUUGGAAAGUUUCGGCGGUUGGGGAUGGACUCGCGGCUUAUCAGCUUGUUGGUGGGGUAGUGGCUUACCAAGGCUUUGACGGGUAGCCGGCCUGAGAGGGUGACCGGCCACAUUGGGACUGAGAUACGGCCCAGACUCCUACGGGGGGCAGCAGGGGGGAAUAUUGCACAAUGGGCGGAAGCCUGAUGCAGCAACGCCGCGUGCGGGAUGACGGCCUUCGGGUUGUAAACCGCUUUCGCCUGUGACGAAGCGUGAGUGACGGUAAUGGGUAAAGAAGCACCGGCUAACUACG
rnacentral:rRNA from 1 species